rnacentral:lncRNA from 1 species
ACUUCCCUCUGGAGCUGGGCAAGGCACUGGGGAAACGUGGGCCUGAGCAGGACUUUGCAGCCAAGGCCACUGGACUAGCUUGAGAGUCCUGGGCAGCAUCCAGGCACGGGCUCCAGGCCUUCUGCCCCAGCUCGAGGUGCCAUAGCAGGUGCCUCUCAUGGGAUUGGGGCAAGUGGCACAGUCUUGAGGCUCCCCCAGUCAGACCCUUCCCCCUUCUCCCCAGGCCAUGGUGGGCAGGUGGCCACUUCCGUUGCUGCCUGUGUCUGAGGACAUUGGCCCAGGGUUGGCAAGAAGAGGAAGGUGUUGCAUCAACAUGCAGCACAUUCACCUGACAAGGAGCUGGCCGCAGCCUCCGCUGCCAAACGGUGACGGUGCUGGCUGGUGCCCCCAGGAGCUGUUCACCACCUCCCGGGCUAAUGGCGCUUGCUGCCUGGCACACAGCAGGUGACUACACUGCAUGGCUUAUAAAUGUGGCCUCUGCCAGGAAAUCCUGGGAAAGAGCCAGGGAGGUGACGUUUUAUCCACGAGCCUGCUAUGGCUUAGCCUAGCCCUCCCCUAACUGUGACCAAGCUCUGGAUGAGACACAGACAACUACUGAGGACCUGCAAAGUAAGGAGACUGCAGGGCGGAGGCGGAACUUGGAGGAGUGACCUGCCGUGGAGUUUCUGGUUUCCUCCUUGUGGCUUUGUCUGGAGGGCAAGCCCCACUCUCAGAUCCACAUGGCAACACAAGCAGCUAAAACGCAGAUAGAAACCCCAACCUGGGAAAAGGAGUCCUACAGCAACUUUUCAGAAGCUUCAGAAGAAGGACGCCGGAGAAUGCCCGCCCGGGACUCCGAGGUGCCCUGUGCUCAUGGAUUGGUCCUCCUGGCUCCAUGAGUGUGAGUGAGUGUCUGCAGGUCCCUGGCACAAAAGCUGCAGUGCUGAGCAGGUGGCUAAUGGCCCUGGCUGGGUGAUUUUGGACAAGUCACCUUUGCCUCUCUGGCCUCCAUUGUCCCUCUGUCAAACAGGCCCCACGACAGCAAGCGUUGGUUAUUGUGUCUAUGGUCAACAUCCCACCUGCCUUUCUGGGCAGAGACGUUUGGGAGCAGUGGCUGUAUCCCUGAGCACGUCGUAAGGGCACUUUCCUGCAUGCCCUGGCUGGAGGGACCUGUUGCUGGGAAAACUCCCCAGAGUGUGAACCGGCGGCGGCUCCACCAUCUGGGUGCCGUGGGCAUGGUGCAUGGCGGGAAGGAGGCCGGCACCACAGAAGGGUGGCAGCUGUCCCCGGAAGGCUCUCCCCUGAGGGCGCCCAGGGCUCCACCGCUAGCCAGCCAUCUCCUUGCAGUAAGGCACGUUUCCUCCAGAUCCUCUCGGAACUGCCGGGAGUGGCUGCCCCACCCGCCCAGCUCUCCCUGGGUCCUGCCAGGCAGGGAAGCGUGAACCGAGACGGGCUCGGGAUGGCUCUCAGGCCCUCCCUGCUCUCAGCACCAAGGGAGGCACCCAGAGACUGAUCUGUGGGGGCAACGGAGACUCCGGGUCCCCCCACCAGGAUACGUCCCCUUUCUUUGCAUCUGAUGCUGACACACACAUACGAGGAGCCCAGAGGCAGAAACGGGACUCAGAGCCUGACGCUGAGGCUGGUGUGUGGGGCUGCCUCUCCCAGUGCUGAGGCUGGCGUGUGGGGGCUUCCUCUCCCGACACUGAGGCUGGCGUGUGGGGCUGCUUCUCCCGACGCUGAGGCUGGCGUGUGGGGCUUCCUCUCCCGACGCUGAGGCUGGCGUGUGGGGCUUCCUCUCCCGACGCUGAGGCUGGUGUGUGGGGCGGCCUCUCCUGGUGCUGAGGCUGGCAUGUGGGGCGGUCUCUCCCGACCUUGAGGCUGGCAUGUGGGGCUUCCUCUCCCGACGCUGAGGCUGGCGUGUGGGGCUUCCUCUCCCAACCUUGAGGCUGGCAUGUGGGGCUUCCUCUCCCGACGCUGAGGCUGGCAUGUGGGGCGCCCUCUCCCGACCUUGAGGCUGGCAUGUGGGGCUUCCUCUCCCGACGCUGAGGCUGGCGUGUGGGGCGGCCUCUCGGGAGCAGGCGGCCUCGGGGAUCCUGGGGGUCAGCAGCCCCUCCACAGCUGCACCUCCCGGGACUGACCCUGCAGAACCCACCUCCCGCCAGCCCCUCCACAGCAGGACAGCACCCGCCUCCUUUUCCAAGGCCGCCUCGCCCAGUGGAGGCUGCAGCUCUACUGGGUGUGAGUCAGGAGGAAACGCUCGCAGCCAACACAGGCAGGACACGCCCACGUGACAUCGGAUCCCACGGGGAGGAGUCCACUGGGCAAAUCUGAACAAUGUGGGGGAAGAUAUUGAUGAGAUGUUAAACAUAACCCAUAGAAGAAGAAUCUACAAGUCCGUACUGACGUAAAUAAAUAAACAGGCAUUGGGGAGAGACAGCUUUUCCUUACCAUAGAAUUCCAACUCAGCCGCAGAAUCCUGGUGGGAACCGUCAUCAAAGUCAACGGGAGCAGACACCACCAAACCCCAGAUCAAAGUCAGCAUCGCCAGCAACGGGCACACGGACACCAGGAAACUCCAUCAGCAUUGCUUUUGCUGUAUUCUUGACAAAAUUGUACAGUUUAAUUUUUUUUCUUUUUUCUUUCCUUUUUUUUUUUAGAGAUGGGGUCUCACUGUGUUGCCCAGGCUAGAGUACAGUGGUGUGAUCACAGCUCACUACAGCCUUCCGUGGCUGGGACUACAGGCACACACCACCACAUCUGGCUUGUUUUUUUGUUGUUGUUCUUGUUUUACUGUUUACUUUGUAGAGAUGGGGUGUAGCUAUAUUACCCAGUCUUGACUUCUGGCCUCAAGUGAUCCUCCCACCUUGGCCUCCCAAAGUGUUGGGAUUACAGAUGUGAGCCACUGUGCCCAGCUGUAUAAGUGGAAUUUAAUUAUGAGGAAAUCUACAGUGAAUCCAAAUUAAGGGAUAGUCCACAAAAUAACUGACAAUAUUCUUUAGAAGUGUCAAUGUCAUGAAAAAACAAAGACUGAGGAUUCGUCCCAGAUUGAGAGACUAAGGGGCCACGAGGACUAAACACAACAUGGGACCCUGGACUAGGAAAGGGUGGUGAGUGGGACGGUCAGCAGGGGUGAGCGGGACGGUCAGCAGGGGUGAGUGGGAUGGUCAGCAGGGCGUGCAUGAGGGGUUUGCUGGGUGAUCCUGUUGUAUCAGUGGCCAUUCUCUGAUCAUUGUACAAUUGAUCACUAUCCUCAAAGCUAACUUUUUUUUUUUUUGAGACGGAGUUUCACUCUGCCACCCAGGCUGGAGUGCAGUGGCGCCAUCUCAGCUCACUGCAGCCUCCGCCUCUUAGGUUCAAGUGAUUCUCCUGUCUCAGCCUCCCAAGUAGCUGGGACUACAGGCACCUGCCACCACACUUGGGGAAAUUUUUGUGUUUUUAAUAGAAACGGGGUUUCACCAUGUCGACCAGCCUGAUCUCAAACUCCCGACCUCAGCUGAUCCACCCACCUCGGUCUCCCAAAGUGCUGUGAUGAGUGCCCGUGAGCCACCGCGCCCAGCCUCAAAGCUAACUUUUGGGGACGUUGGAUGAAGAGUCCACAGGAACUUUUCUACUGUUUUUGCAACUUGUUAAAACCCUGUAAUUACUUCAAAAUGAAAAGUUAAAAAAUGAUCUUUUAAAAAAGAGUUAAUACUUGCAGUAUAUAAAGGACUCUUGAAAAUCAAUGAGAAGAUGAAUGUCCUGUGGAGAGCACAUGGGCCGCGAUGCUCCGGGAAAGAAUGGCACAGAGCACAAGAGAAACAGCUCACGGGCACCACUGAUUAGAGAAAUGCCAAGGCACUCAAUGACGGCCAAUGAUGGCGUUUGAAAACAUUAGACUGCAAACUAGUGUUUACACCGUAAGGGUGCUCUCGUGUUGCUGGGGAGAGGGGGACGAGCAUAGCUCGCCUGCAGAGCAGUUUGGCAACUUAUCAAAAGUCCAAGCUGUGACCUUUCUCUUUUUGACCCCUACGCUGGAU